UGUGAAUGUGUUAAAACUUCUUCAACCUUCUAUAGAAACCCCAACCUCAGAUUCUUCCUCUCUGAAAUUCCGAAAACAGAAAAGAAAGAGAGAUUAAAUAAGAUCUCUCUCUCUCUCACGAAAAUUGGAUCGGAGAAAACGAAGCAGUCACUGUAGUGGAACGAUAGUGUCGGCGAGGAGCAGCUCAGCUUCUUCCAAGCAUCCUUUAAACCUCACUUCUCCCAAUGCCAAACGCUCCAUGGUUCUCUCAUCUUUAGGGUUUCUCUCUCUCUCUCUGUUUUUUUCUAUUUCCAGCAUUUUGAUUUUGAUGAGGGAUUUGCAAAACAUUAUAUGGAUAUUCCACCUCAGCCAGAUGAUGCCGGCAACACCAGUUGUACACUUCAAAGCGAUUUAUCUUCUCUUCAAGAAGGCCCUCAGCUUCCCUUCGAUCCGACCCCUGUCAGCGUUCUGAAGGAGAAAUCUAACCAGGGCACCGACAGAUUGGCGUGAAGGGUGAAGAUUUUCCAGUUUUAAAAAUGUUUUUCAGCUAAGCAUGUUUGUUUUUAUUUCUAUUGAAGUCUCCACUUUUAUCUCCAAAUAAUAUUUCUUGGAGAUUGGCGUGAAGGGUGAAGAUUUUCUGUUUCCUUCUCAUAUCAGAAGGAAUCCUUUGCAGUGCUCUCGACAGAAAUUCAUUCCCACAUGAAUUCUAAUUUGGUUUCAGUACAUCUGCAUUUCAGGUGGAAGGAGCAGCUCUUGAAGAUGGGAGGGGUGUAAGCAUCUGGGAUACUUUCUGUUCUCUUCCUGGGAAGAUAUUGGGUGGAGGAAAUAGAGAUGUAGCAGCUAAUGUAUAUCAUCGAUAUAAGGUAUUUGCACUUUAUUUGAAUUUGAGGGGACACAAAUUUCCUAUUUGGGGCCCAUUGUGAUGUCUAUGUGGCAUCCACUCCGUUAAUGAUCACAAGAAUUGUAGUGUGGUAUUGAAUCUGUUGAGUUGCUAGAGGAUGACCCAAAUUCAAAGGCUAAAGUGUCAAUGUAUACAGAUGUAUUUGAGCAAACCCCUCAUGAACAUGCCUGAUCCAAGAAUCGAGUUCCACUCAUCAGGUGGGACGUGGAUGUAUGAGAAAAGUGAAUCAAGUGCCACCUGAAGAGUGUUCCAAAUCCCUCUCACAGGCGCUGCAUUUAGUUGCAGAAAGGGGCACAUCACAUCCAUGGUUCUUGAGUCGGCUAUGGUGCUGCUGGAUUUCUUAGGGAUGUCUUUCGAGUCAAUGACAAGA